GAUGAAGAACGUAGCGAAAUGCGAUAAGUAAUGUGAAUUGCAGAAUUUAGUGAAUCAUCGAAUCUUUGAACGCACAUUGCGCCCGCCAGUAUUCUGGCGGGCAUGCCUGUUCGAGCGUCAUUUCAACCCUCAAGCCCCCGGGCUUGGUGUUGGGGAUCGGCGUGCCCUCGCGGCGCGCCGUCCCCUAAAUCUAGUGGCGGUCUCGCUGUAGCUUCCUCUGCGUAGUAGCAACACUCGCACUGGAUCGCAGCGCGGCCACGCCGUUAAACCCCCCACUUCUGAAAGUUUGACCUCGGAUCAGGUAGGAAUACCCGCUGAACUUAAGCAUAUCAAUAAGCGGAGGA
rnacentral:misc_RNA from 1 species